rnacentral:tRNA from 1 species
GCCCGGUUAGCUCAGUCGGUAGAGCACCAGACUCUUAAUCUGGCUGUCGCGGGUUC